rnacentral:rRNA from 1 species
CGAGGUUGUCGCUGGCCUCUCGGGGCAUGUGCACGCCCGAGCCAUCCCCAACAAACGCCGUGGGCCUUCGGGCCCGCGUAUAUUUACUCUGAAUGUGUAUAGAAUGUAAACCAUUUGUUUGCCCUGAAAAAGCAAACGAAAAAUAGUACAACUUUCAACAACGGAUCUCUUGGCUCUCGCAUCGAUGAAGAACGCAGCGAAAUGCGAUAAGUAAUGUGAAUUGCAGAUUUUCAGUGAAUCAUCGAAUCUUUGAACGCACCUUGCGCCCCUUGGUAUUCCGAGGGGCAUGCCUGUUUGAGUGUCAUUAAAUCCUCAACCGCGCCGAUUGAUUUUCGGUGGGGCUUGGACUUUGGAGCGUGCUGGCGAAGGUCGGCUCCUCUUUAAAUGCAUCAGCGGAAGAAACCUUUGUCUUUCCCGCCUUCGGUGUGAUAAUUGUGUUGCGCCG